GGCUCAGGAUGAACGCUAGCGGCAGGCUUAAUACAUGCAAGUCGUGGGGCAGCAUGAGUAGCAAUACUUGAUGGCGACCGGCAAACGGGUGAGGAACACGUACACAACCUUCCUUCAAGCGGGGAAUAGCCCAGAGAAAUUUGGAUUAAUACCCCAUAAUAUAUUUGAUAAGGCAUCUUAUUAAUAUUAAAGCUUCGGCACUUGAUGAUGGGUGUGCGGCUGAUUAGAUAGUUGGCGGGGUAACGGCCCACCAAGUCUACGAUCAGUAGCUGAUGUGAGGGCAUGAUCAGCCACACGGGCACUGAGACACGGGCCCGACUCCUACGGGAGGCAGCAGUAAGGAAUAUUGGACAAUGGACGAAAGUCUGAUCCAGCCAUGCCGCGUGAAGGAUUAAGGUUCUCUGGAUUGUAAACUUCUUUUAUAUGGGACGAAAAAAGGGCAUUCUUGUUCACUUGACGGUACCAUAUGAAUAAGCACCGGCUAACUCCGUG
rnacentral:rRNA from 1 species